UUUAACUAAAGAGAAUAUAUUUUGUAAACUCCCGAAGUAAGAAGAUCUAAUUAUUUAUGUUUCUUAUUUUUUGAGUAGUAGUAUAUAGUGUAGCAUAACUAUCUAAAGAAAAAUAAUUAGGGGUGAAAGGCUUAUCCUUAUUCUUAUUGAUAUCUGGAUUAAAUCAAAAAAUAUUUAGUAUUAUUAGGUCAUUUUUACAACACUAAGAUUGUAAAAUCUAAAAAGCAUAUAUAUCACCCGUUUGAUGCGUUAUUAAUAUAAAGGCAUAAAUAACUAUAAAAAAUAUCUUUAUAAUUAACUUUUAUUUUAUAGGUUUAUAGGUUUAGUAAUAUUUUGAAAAUUUUAAUAGUGUUUAAAUGAGUAUAUAUAAUAUAAAAGUAUAAGGAACUCGGCAAACUCAUCCCUCAACUGUUUAUCAAAAACAUAGCUAGUUGAAUAUUAUAAUUAGUAGUUCUCUGCCCGGUGAGUUUUUAACGGCCGCAGUACACUGACUGUGCAAAGGUAGCGUAAUAAUUUGGCUUUUAAAUGAAGUCGAGUAUGAAUGAGUGAAUGGGGGAAUGCUGUCUUAUACUUUUUAUUUAAAAUUUACUUAGGAAGUGAAAAUUCUUUCAAGUUUAAUCAAAAGACGAGAAGACCCUAAAAAUUUUUACUAAAGGUGUAAAAUAUUUCUUUUAUGUUUUUGUUGGGGCAACAGGUUACUACUUAAAAAUAACUAUAUAUAUUAUAUGUUUAUAUCGAGUUUUACUAAUAAUAAUCAAAUUACUUUAGGGAUAACAGCAUAAUUUUAUUAAAAAGAUUGUGACCUCGAUGUUGGAUUAGGAUCUAUUUAAAUUAACCGUUUAAAUAGCUGGUUCUGUUCGAACUAUGGUUUCCU
rnacentral:rRNA from 1 species